ACGCGAANAACCUUACCUGGUCUUGACAUCCACGGAAGUUUUCANAGAUGAGAAUGUGCCUUCGGGAACCGUGAGACAGGUGCUGCAUGGCUGUCGUCAGCUCGUGUUGUGAAAUGUUGGGUUAAGUCCCGCAACGAGCGCAACCCUUAUCCUUUGUUGCCAGCGGUCCGGCCGGGAACUCAAAGGAGACUGCCAGUGAUAAACUGGAGGAAGGUGGGGAUGACGUCAAGUCAUCAUGGCCCUUACGACCAGGGCUACACACGUGCUACAAUGGCGCAUACAAAGAGAAGCGACCUCGCGAGAGCAAGCGGACCUCAUAAAGUGCGUCGUAGUCCGGAUUGGAGUCUGCAACUCGACUCCAUGAAGUCGGAAUCGCUAGUAAUCGUGGAUCAGAAUGCCACGGUGAAUACGUUCCCGGGCCUUGUACACACCGCCCGUCACACCAUGGGAGUGGGUUGCAAAAGAAGUAGGUAGCUUAACCU
rnacentral:rRNA from 1 species